rnacentral:rRNA from 1 species
UUGGGAGCUCUCCCAUAUGGUCGACCUGCAGGCGGCCGCGAAUUCACUAGUGAUUUUACCGCGGCUGCUGGCACGGAGUUAGCCGGAGCUUAUUCUCCCGGUACUGUCAUUAUCAUCCCGGGUAAAAGAGCUUUACAACCCUAAGGCCUUCAUCGCUCACGCGGCAUUGCUGGAUCAGGCUUUCGCCCAUUGUCCAAUAUUCCCCACUGCUGCCUCCCGUAGGAGUCUGGGCCGUGUCUCAGUCCCAGUGUGGCUGAUCAUCCUCUCAGACCAGCUAAGGAUCGUCGCCUUGGUGCGCCUUUACCACACCAACUAGCUAAUCCUACGCGGGCUCAUCCCUCGGCGAUAAAUCUUUGGUCCGAAGACAUCAUCCGGUAUUAGCAGUCAUUUCUAACUGUUAUUCCGAACCAAGGGGCAGAUUCCCACGCGUUACGCACCCGUGCGCCACUAAGGCCGAAGCCUUCGUUCGACUUGCAUGUGUUAGGCAUGCCGCCAGCGUUCGUUCUGAGCCAUGAUCAAACUCUAAUCGAAUUCCCGCGGCCGCCAUGGCGGCCGGGAGCA